rnacentral:rRNA from 1 species
GAUGAACGCUGGCGGCGUGCCUAAUACAUGCAAGUCGAGCGAAUGGAUUAAGAGCUUGCUCUUAUGAAGUUAGCGGCGGACGGGUGAGUAACACGUGGGUAACCUGCCCAUAAGACUGGGAUAACUCCGGGAAACCGGGGCUAAUACCGGAUAAUAUUUUGAACUGCAUGGUUCAAAAUUGAAAGGCGGCUUCGGCUGUCACUUAUGGAUGGACCCGCGUCGCAUUAGCUAGUUGGUGAGGUAACGGCUCACCAAGGCAACGAUGCGUAGCCGGCCUGAGACGGUCAUCGGCCACACUCGGACUGAGACACGGCCCAGACUCCUACGGGAGGCAGCAGUAGGGAAUCUUCCGCAAUGGACGAAAGUCUGACGGAGCAACGCCGCGUGAGUGAUGAAGGCUUUCGGGUCGUAAAACUCUGUUGUUAGGGAAGAACAAGUGCUAGUUGAAUAAGCUGGCACCUUGACGGUACCUAACCAGAAAGCCACGGCUAACUACGUGCCAGCCGCCGCAGUAA